AUUGAACGCUGGCGGCAUGCCUUACACAUGCAAGUCGAACGGUAACAGGUCUUCGGAUGCUGACGAGUGGCGAACGGGUGAGUAAUACAUCGGAACGUGCCUAGUAGUGGGGGAUAACUACUCGAAAGAGUGGCUAAUACCGCAUGAGAUUUACGGAUGAAAGCAGGGGAUCGAAAGACCUUGUGCUACUAGCGCGGCCGAUGGCAGAUUAGGUAGUGGGUGGGAUAAAAGCUUACCAAGCCGACGAUCUGUAGCUGGUCUGAGAGGACGAUCAGCCACACUGGGACUGAGACACGGCCCAGACUCCUACGGGAGGCAGCAGUGGGGAAUUUUGGACAAUGGGCGAAAGCCUGAUCCAGCAAUGCCGCGUGCAGGAUGAAGGCCUUCGGGUUGUAAACUGCUUUUGUACGGAACGAAAAGCCCCGGGUUAAUACCCUGGGGUCAUGACGGUACCGUAAGAAUAAGCACCGGCUAACUACGUGCCAGCCGCCGCCGUAA
rnacentral:rRNA from 1 species